rnacentral:rRNA from 1 species
UACGUAGGGGGCGAGCGUUGUCCGGAUUUAUUGGGCGUAAAGAGCGUGUAGGCGGCUUGGUAGGUCUGCUGUGAAAACUCGGGGCUCAACCCCGAGACGUCGGUGGAAACCACCUGGCUAGAGUCCGGAAGAGGAGAGUGGAAUUCCUGGUGUAGCGGUGAAAUGCGCAGAUAUCAGGAAGAACACCCGUGGCGAAGGCGGCUCUCUGGGACGGUACUGACGCUGAGACGCGAAAGCGUGGGGAGCAAACAGG